AAUCAACGCUGGCGGCGUGCCUCAGACAUGCAAGUCGAACGAUUAAACUUUCCUUCGGGAAAGAUAUAAAGUGGCGCACGGGUGAGUAACACGUAAGUAAUCUACCUUUGAGUGGGGAAUAACGUUCGGAAACGGACGCUAAUACCGCAUAAUGCAGCGGCACCUAAUGGUGACAGUUGUUAAAGGAGCAAUCCGCUUAAAGAGGAGCUUGCGGCAGAUUAGCUAGCUGGAAGGUAACGGCUUACCAAGGCUACGAUCUGUAACCGGUCUAAGAGGACGGUCGGUCACACUGACACUGAAUAACGGGUCAGACUCCUACGGGAGGCAGCAGUGAGGAAUUUUCCGCAAUGGGCGCAAGCCUGACGGAGCGACGCCGCGUGUGGGAAGAAGGCCUUAGGGUCGUAAACCACUGUACGAAGGGGAAGAUAAUGACGGUACCCUUGGAGGAAGCCCCGGCUAACUACGUGCCAGCCGCCGCGGU
rnacentral:rRNA from 1 species